rnacentral:rRNA from 1 species
AUUGAACGCUGGCGGCAGGCCUAACACAUGCAUGUCGAACGAGUGGCGGACUGGUGAGUAAUUUCUGGGAAACUGCCUGAUGGCGGGGGAUAACUCCUGGAAACGGUAGCUAAUACCGCAUACCAUCGGAUGUUCCCAGAUGGGCUUAGCUAGUAGGUGGGGUAAAGGCUCACCUAGGCGACGAUCCCUAGCUGGUCUGAGAGGAUGACCAGCCACACUGGAACUGAGACACGGGCCAGACUCCUACGGGAGGCAGCAGUGGGGAAUAUUGCACAAUGGGCGCAAGCCUGAUGCAGCCAUGCCGCGUGUAUGAAGAAGGCCUUCGGGUUGUAAAGUACUUUCAGCGGGGAGGCGGGAGCCGAAGAAGAAGCACCGGCUAACUCCGUGCCAGCAGCCGCGGUAAUAG